AUCUAGCUGAGGAGUCCCAAAUAGGAUGAAGCGUGCAUCAAACUGGAU
rnacentral:hammerhead_ribozyme from 1 species